UUUGUAAUCUGGCUCUUUAAGAGUCUGAGUUGUAAUUUUAAGAACUGUUUUCAGUGCUGGACCAUGUACAAGUCUGUUGAAACACAGCAUCAUUGAGGGUGAUAAUCCCGUUCAUGAUAUGGACUCCCAGUGCAAUAUGAUACAGUCUCCAAGAGUCGAGUUGUUUGGGAAUGCAGCUCAAAAUGGGUGGUAAAUUCCAUCUAAGGCUAAAUAUUGGUGAGAGACCGAUAGCAAACAAGUACCGUGAGGGAAAGAUGAAAAGAACUUUGGAAAGAGAGUUAACAGUACGUGAAAUUGUUAAAAGGGAAACAAUUGAAGUUAGUCUUGUUAUUACUGGUUCAGCUCUUUUAGAGUGUAUUCCAGUGGUUAACAGAUCAACAUCAAUUCUUGGGUGCUAGAUAAGGGUUUUGUGAAAUGUAGCAGCUUCUAGCUGUGUUAUAGUCUGAGACUUUGAUAUAGUGCCUAGGAUUGAGGAAUGCAGUGAGCCUUUUUUUUUAAAAAAGGUGAACCAAUUUUAAUUGGUUUUCUCACUGAGGAUGUUGAUACAAUAGCUUUAAAUGACCCGUCUUGAAACACGGACCAAGGAGUCUAACAUGCUUGCGAGUAUUUGGGUGUUGAAACCCUUAUGCG
rnacentral:rRNA from 1 species